GAUGAACGCUGGCGGCGUGCCUAAUACAUGCAAGUCGAGCGAACGGACGAGAAGCUUGCUUCUCUGAUGUUAGCGGCGGACGGGUGAGUAACACGUGGAUAACCUACCUAUAAGACUGGGAUAACUUCGGGAAACCGGAGCUAAUACCGGAUGAUAUUUUGAACCGCAUGGUUCAAAAGUGAAAGACGGUCUUGCUGUCACUUAUAGAUGGAUCCGCGCCGCAUUAGCUAGUUGGUAAGGUAAUGGCUUACCAAGGCAACGAUGCAUAGCCGACCUGAGAGGGUGAUCGGCCACACUGGAACUGAGACACGGUCCAGACUCCUACGGGAGGCAGCAGUAGGGAAUCUUCCGCAAUGGGCGAAAGCCUGACGGAGCAACGCCGCGUGAGUGAUGAAGGUCUUCGGAUCGUAAAACUCUGUUAUUAGGGAAGAACAUAUGUGUAAGUAACUGUGCACAUCUUGACGGUACCUAAUCAGAAAGCCACGGCUAACUACGUG
rnacentral:rRNA from 1 species